UACUUCAAUGAAUUUAAUUAUUUCUAACAUUGUGAAGCAUAAUGGUCAUUAUUUCAAUACAAGAUUAACAUGCUUUGAUCAAAUUGCAAACAUAUAUAAUGAUUUAUUGAUCACUUGUUUGCCCACAAAUAACUUGUGAGGUGGUGUCCUUGUUUUUGGACACAUCUUCACAGUUUUAUAACUUAAUAGAGGUAAAGAUAUGAUUAAAAGAAAUAUAUAGCAGUAUUACAAAUUUAUUUAUUUAUGUAGUAGGU
rnacentral:lncRNA from 1 species